UACAGAGGGUGCAAGCGUUAAUCGGAUUUACUGGGCGUAAAGGGCGCGUAGGUGGUAAAGCAAGUAAGAUGUGAAAGCCCUGGGCUUAACCUGGGAAGUGCAUCUUAAACUGCUUAACUUGAGUAUGGUAGAGGGUAGUGGAAUUUCCGGUGCAGCGGUGAAAUGCGUAGAGAUCGGAAGGAACGCCAGUGGUGAAGACGACUACCUGGACCAAUACUGACACUGAGGCGCGAAAGCGUGGGGAUCAAACAGG
rnacentral:rRNA from 1 species